AGCCCGCUACGAGAGCGGAGCCGACAAACCCCCACCUGUUUUUUUAUUUCACACAUACCGCCUGGAUUCAGCAAUGAACCGGGACGGAAGG
rfam:Geobacter sp. OR-1 DNA, contig: OR1_contig000009.